rnacentral:rRNA from 1 species
AGAAGCGAAUAAGGGCGGACGGCGGAUGCCUAGGCUCUGGGAGGCGAAGAAGGACGUGAUAAGCUGCGAAAAGCCGCGUAGAGGCGCAAAUCGCCGUUGACGCGCGGAUCUCCGAAUGGGGCAACCCGCCAUGUUGAAGACAUGGCGCCCGCCUAAUGGCGGGGGCGAACGGGGGGAACUGAAACAUCUCAUUACCCCCAGGAGAAGAAAAUAACAAUGAUUCCGCGAGUAGUGGCGAGCGAAAGCGGAGGAGCCCAAACCGGCGAUGUCGAGGCAUCGUCGGGGUUGAAGGACCGCGAUAUACCGAAUACGACCGAACCGGAAGCCGUUGGAAAACGGCGCCGCAGAGGGUGACGGCCCCGUACGGGCAAGGUCGUCGAGGUUAGCGGCAUCCUGAGUAGCGCGGGACACGAGAAAUCCUGUGUGAAACAGCGGGGACCAUCCCGCAAGGCUAAAUACUCCCCAGAGACCGAUAGCGAACCAGUACCGUGAGGGAAAGGUGAAAAGCACCUCUAGCAGAGGAGUGAAACAGAACCUGAAACCGUCCGCCUACAAGCGGUCGGAGUCCCGUAAGGGAUGACGGCGUGCCUUUUGCAUAAUGAACCUACGAGUUAUUCUCAUUAGCGAGGUUAAGCCCUUCAGGGGCGCAGCCGAAGAGAAAUCGAGUCUUAACAGGGCGACACAGUUAAUGGGAAUAGACGCGAAACCAAGUGAUCUACCCUUGGGCAGGAUGAAGUCACGGUAACGCGUGAUGGAGGUCCGAACCGGUUGGCGUUGAAAAGCCUUCGGAUGACCUGAGGGUAGGGGUGAAAGGCUAAUCAAACUUGGAGAUAGCUCGUACUCCCCGAAAUGCAUUUAGGUGCAGCGUCACGUUAGUUCACCGGAGGUAGAGCGACUGAUCGGACGCGAGGGCUUCACCGCCUGUCAAGUCCGGACAAACUCCGAAUGCCGGUGAACGUUUCGUGGCAGUGAGGGCGCGGGUGCUAAGGUCCGCGUCCGAGAGGAGAAGAAUCCAGACCGCCCGCUAAGGCCCCGAAAUGCGCGCUGAGUUGCGUUAACGAAGUCCGGUCGCUGAGACAGCCAGGAUGUUGGCUUGGAAGCAGCCAUUCAUUUAAAGAGUGCGUAACAGCUCACUGGUCGAGCGUCCGGGCGUGGAUAAUACUCGGGCAUAAGCGCGCUGCCGAAGCGGCGGAUAUCACGAUGUGAUAUGGUAGGGGAGCAUUCCAACGGCGCAGAAGGUUCCGGAUAACCGGAGCUGGAGCUUUUGGAAAAGCAAAUGUAGGUAUAAGUAACGAUAAAGGGGGCGGGAAACCCCCUCGCCGGAAGACUUAGGGUUCCUGAUCAACGCUAAUCGGAUCAGGGUAAGUCGGGGCCUAAGGCUCAUCCGAACGGAGAGGCCGAUGGACGAACGGGUCAAUAUUCCCGUACUGGCGCAGUGAGCGAUGUCGUGACGGAGAAGUGACAGCCGCGCCCGGUGACGGAAUACCGGGUUUAAGGGUGUAGGUUAUGAGAGGGGCAGGCAAAUCCGCCCCUCGAGCCGAACCUGAAAGUACCGCGAGCCUUCGGGCGGGCGGAUAGCGGCGUAACCAGGCUCCCAAGAAAAACGGCUAAGCUUAUCACUGCGGCACCCGUACCGUAAACGGACACACGUGGUCACGUAAAGUAUACUGAGGCGCUCGAGUGAGUCGCGGCUAAGGAACUAGGCAAAAUAGUCCUGUAACUUCGGGAGAAGGGACACCCGCUGGAAGAUGCGGGUCGCAGCAAAAUGGCUCAGGCGACUGUUUAACAAAAACAUAGGGCUUUGCGAAAUCGCAAGAUGAAGUAUAAGGCCUGACACCUGCCCGGUGCCGGAAGGUUAAGAGGAGAGGUCAUCGUAAGAGAAGCCUUGAAUUGAAGCCCCGGUAAACGGCGGCCGUAACUAUAACGGUCCUAAGGUAGCGAAAUUCCUUGUCGGGUAAGUUCCGACCUGCACGAAUGCCGCGAGCUCGGUGAAAUUGUAGUAUCGGUGAAGAUGCCGAUUACCCGCAACGGGACGGAAAGACCCCGUGAACCUUUACUGCAGCUUAGCGUUGAUUCUGGGUAACGGAUGUGUAGGAUAGGCCGGAGGCAAUGAAGCGUGGGCGCCAGCCCACGUGGAGCCGCCGUUGAAAUACGGCCCUUCCGUUAUUUGGGCUCUAACCCCUUAAAGGGGGACACCGCUUGGCGGGUAGUUUGACUGGGGUGGUCGCCUCCAAAAGCGUAACGGAGGCUUCCAAAGGUACCCUCCGGCCGAUUGGUAACCGGCCAUGGAGCGCAAUGGCAUAAGGGUGCUUGACUGCGAGACCGACAAGUCGAACAGGUAGGAAACUAGGGCAUAGUGAUCCGGCGGUUCCGCAUGGAAGGGCCGUCGCUCAAAGGAUAAAAGGUACUCCGGGGAUAACAGGCUGAUCAUUCCCAAGAGCUCAUAUCGACGGAAUGGUUUGGCACCUCGAUGUCGGCUCGUCA